UUCGUCGCAGGAAUUGCAAGGCCCAUCUGUGUUGGCGUUUAGCAAGUGGCUAGCUAGUUCGAGAUUCUAGCUAUAUACACACUAAAACGUUAGCUAUCCCAGUUAGCUUUAAAUGAAAACUGAACUUGAUAUAGAAACGUCCAUUCAAUGCACCUCGCAGAAAAUUAAUUAUCAAGCUACAUAAGCAGGCUAAAUGCUUGCUUGCAAACACAAUCACUUCACACGUUCAGCUAGCUAGCCUGCUAGCAUCUUUCUGCAGCACGAGCGUGAGACAAGACAUGUCAGGCAUCAAGAGGAAGGCUGACGAGAAGGACCCAGAUUGUGAGGACAUCGCACUGGUUCAGGAGAACAAGCGACACAGUAGUGAAACAAAAUGACUUGCCAGUGAGGGAAGCUACGGUGCAGAAGAUUGAGGCCGUCAUCAAAGAUCAGUUCUCUUUGGAGAUGAAGAACAAAGAACAUGAGAUGGAAGUGAUUGUACAGGUUACUGUUGACCUCAGCUACAGAAUGAGUAUCAUAUCGCCAUAGGAAAGGAUAUCAAGGUGGAACAUCCCCUCUCCUUUCCUACGUUUCCCAGCAUGCCUCCAAGAGUGACCCGGCGGUGCUGAACCACCCGGCCAUCAAGCAUUUCCUGGAGUUGCCCUCCCACUCCUCGUCCCCCCUCGACCAGGGCUCGGACGCCCACUAUCUGGGGCCCUCGGUGACCCUGUCCCAGCAGGGCGAGGGGCCGGACAGGAGGCUUGGAGGGAGGAUGGGGGCCGGCCGAAGCGAGGCCGGGCCGCAACACAAGGAAGUGGAGUGAGGAGUUAAGGACCACAUCUCAAUUGGCUGAUGUGGCUUUCUCUCCUCGUCUUCUUUCCUUCAUCCGUACUGAUCUGAAAGACUUGGCCAGAUGAGAGCAAAUUGCCUCCACCUCUCCUGUCUUUUCAGGUAUAUCCCCCUGAUAAGCGGGAGAAGAAUGACCAGUCCACCCAUAAGUGGAUGGUGUACGUCAGAGGCUCCAGAAGAGAGCCCAGCAACGACCACUUUGUCAACAACCCCAGCUACAAGCCCAAUGACCCGAUGGAAGUCAGGUCUGCCCAUCAAAGCGGGGAGGUCCGUGGUGUACAGCGUGCUUCCUUCAGCCUCGGAACGCACCCCAUCCCGGCCUAAAGUCACAGAGUAGAUCGCGUUGGGUUCCUACGGCAACUCAGCCUUCCAGCCAAUCAUUGUCCCACAGGGUCAGGCGCCCAGCCCCUCCGGGUCCCCUGGAAAAUCCUUUGAGCCAAUCACAAUGAGCUGUGAGAUUGUGUCAGGUUCACCCAUCUCCACACCCAGCCACUCUCCCCUCCCCCAAACCCUCACCUCCACCCCUGUACACACCGAACAGGGAUCCUCCGUACUCAAAAACCCUUACAUAAUCAUCGACAAGCCCAGCCAGGUCAUCGGGAUGGCAAUAACCUCCUUCACUACCU